GGAAGCUGACAUAUUGGUUGAUGGCAUAAGUAGUUGUGAGAAAAACAUGCAGCACUCUGACCAUCAAUUCUUUUCAAGCGAAGGAAAAAAACUAUGGGCUUCAGAGACGAGCAAGCCGUUGUGCCUUCUUCUUGGGUUUUGCUAGGAUAUGGAUACUUCCUUUUUUUCCACUCUUCUCGCGCUUCUCUUCUUCUAAUCGAUGAUAAAAUUUUAUUUUCUGAGGAAAAAAUUGAUAGGGCUCGAAGCAAUGGAAUAUGUCUUUUGUUUUACGGUAACCUUUUGCAAACCAUUGAUAAGAUCUGGAAAUUAAAUGGCUUUCUAGAACUCUCUCAUAGAAUAUUUUUUUCUCUUUAAAUUUAGUUGCAUUGAAGACAUGGAUAUAGUUUCAUCUGGUGCUCCAUGGUUUAUUUUUGACAAACCUUGUAUAUUUAAAUGUCGGACACAUGAUUUUACUCCAGUUAAAGAGGAUUU